CAGUCGAGCGGACUGUCUGGGGCAACUCAGGCGGUUAGCGGCGGACGGGUGAGUAACACGUGGGUGACCUACCUUGGGGACGGGGAUAACGGCUCGAAAGGGCCGCUAAUACCGGGUACGCUCCUUGGGGCGCAAGCGCUGGGGAGGAGAGGGGGCGGCAACGCUCCCGCCCUGAGACGGGCCCGCGGCCCAUUAGCUAGUUGGCGGGGUAAGAGCCCACCAAGGCGAUGAUGGGUAGCUGGUCUGAGAGGAUGGACAGCCACACUGGGACUGCGACACGGCCCAGACUCCUACGGGAGGCAGCAGCAGGGAAUCGUUGGCAAUGGACGAAAGUCUGACCACGCGACGCCGCGUGAAGGAAGAAGGCCUUCGGGUUGUAAACUUCUUUUAUUGGGGAAAAUGAUGAUGGUACCCAUUGAAUAAGCACCUGCUAACCACGUGCCAGCAGCCGCGGUAAGACGUGGGGUGCAAGCGUUGUCCGGAGUGACUGGGCGUAAAGGGCGUGUAGGUGGUGUGGUAAGUCUCUUUUAAAAUCCCAUGGCUCAACCAUGGUUUGGGAGGAGAUACUAUCACGCUAGACGGCACAAGGGGCUGACAGAAUUCCCGGUGAAGGGGUAAAAUCCGUUGAUAUCGGGAGGAAUACCAGUGGCGAAGGCGGUCAGCUAG
rnacentral:rRNA from 1 species